UUUACCCUGGAGUGUGCGUGAUUGACCGGCUGUUGCUGACCUCACAAGCAUAAAAAAGGAUGCCGGAAUGGCGGUUCUGUGUGCAUGCCCGCUUGGCGGGAAGCCUGAAGUGCCGCCUCAGACGUCCACCUGGGCAACCAGGUCCUGCAAUAGCAGGCACACGGCUCUCCGGGGCCUCA
rnacentral:other from 2 species